GCGUGGCGCCAGGCGGGCGGCUCCGCUCUCCGACCCUGGCGUGGGCCGGGCGCUUCCUGAGCCGCCCAAUGCCGACAGUCGGUGGGGCAGGACGGGGCGGGCUGAGCCGAGCCGGCUGCUGCCUGUCUCCGCGCGCAGGGCGCCUGAGCGCUCGUCCCCCCGGGGUACGGUGUAGCCUCUGUGCGGAGGGUGCGUGCCCGCUGGCGGGGCAGGGCUCCGCGGUGCGUCGGUUCGGGGAGCUAGUGACCUGGCUGCAUAAUCGGUGCUUUCGCUGCAUAGCCUUGCGGUGCGCUCCACCGGCCUGGGGAAGCGGCGACAGAGGCCUCGGCAGCUCAGUGGAAAGAAGGGAACUGGAUAGAACACAAAUUAUGAAGGUGUUAGUCAUUGGACUUGGCGGUGUGACAAAUGGGGGGAAAACAACACUGGCAAAACGACUUAGGAAACAGCUUCCAAAUUGCAGUAUACUCGCUCAAGAUGACUUCUUUAAGCCAGAAUCUGAAGUAGAGAUAGAUGAACAUGGAUUUAAGCAAUAUGAUGUACUUGAUGCCCUUUAUAUGGAGGAAAUGGUGACAAGCAUACGCUCAUGGAUGAAAAACCCAACAGGCUCUUCUGUCUCAACAGCAGAAUCAAAGAGUACACCUGUCAAUCUGAAAAGUGCAGAAGAAGUUCACAUUUUAAUAGCUGAAGGUUUUCUUCUGUAUAACUAUGAGCCUCUUAAUGAAGUAUGGGAUAGAAGAUAUUUUCUGACCAUUCCAUAUGAAGAAUGCAAGAGGAGAAGGAGAUAUUCUUACCAAAUAAACAAUGAAGGGUAUAUAAGUGCACAGCAGGGAAAAAAAUGUAAACCUUGCACAGGAAAGCAAAUCUGUUUUUCUGUAGUACCAGAGUUUAUCAACCAGCAGAUCGACCAGGAUACUUCGAUGGACAUGUAUGGCCUAUGUAUCUGAAACAUAAAAGGGAAAUGGAAGAAAAUACAAAUAAUAUCGUUUAUUUGGAUGGAACAAAAUCUGAGGAAGACCUCUUUUCAUAUGUUUAUAAUGAUAUAGUGCGGGAGCUAGAAGCAUGGAAAAAGUGAGCAGGUCACAGCAAAACCAUGUGAGAAGUUGGGAUUCUUUCCAGUAGGGAUUCAGGGUCAAUUUUAUGGUGUCUGGAUGGAUCACUUUGCCAAUCUAUUGUAUGUACAUGAGUAACACCAGUUUAUACAAUCCAUAUUGUACUGUAGUGACUGCUAUUUCUGUUAGACUUAUAAAUAUUGAUGAAUAGUAUAGGUCAUCCAGUAGACUAGUGCAGUAUUUUUAAAGUGAUAGCCUUGCUCAGAGUGGCAUCUGUAACCCUGUGACAAACUUCAACCUGAUUUAAUAUUUAAUCAUGUAAUAUAAGGAAUUUGAAAAUUACUUUAAUGUAUGGAAAUAUAGCCCUGGAUAUUUCAUAAAUAUACUUCCAUAGGUAUAUGCUAUGUGCACAAUUUUAUAUGCAAGUAAAAUAUUUUUGGAAUUGAAAAUCACAAAAGCAAAGUGAUUGCACAUUAGUAAUAUAGGGAAAAAUAGAAGUAAUAGCUCAUAAAAUAUUAAAUAUGAAUAUUAAAUGACAUGUGGUUAAAGAGGCAAAAGCCAUUUUGGGAAUAUGUAAAUAGAGGUAUUGCACUUGAGACCAGAAACAGAAUUCUUCCUUUUUCACAUGGUGUUUGUUAGAAUGCAUCUGGAGUAUUGUGUAUUGUUUGGGGCACUGUGGAAAGGAUAUAGAUAAUCUGAAGAGCAACUACUAAGCUAUUAGAAAGAGCUGUAGGAUAAGAACAGAGGUUGGUAGUGGGUCAGAUGUGUUAACAUCUGAUGAAAAAUGUGCAGCCUGGAAAAUAAGAGGUUUUGAGUUGUAAAAGAUUCUGGCAGACAAAUGCAAAAAAGAUGCUACCAAAGAGGAGAAGGAAAUAAGAUUCUCAUUAAUCAUAAAUGAUUAAUUAGAAAUGAAUGAAAAAAAUAAAUGUGAUUAGAGAACAGAAAUAUAUGGUUUAGAUCAGCUAAGGAAUAAUACCAGCUUCCCAGUCAUAUAAUAAAUACACACAGGGAGGACUUAAAACUAUUUGAAAACAAACUAUCUUUUGAGGAUUGUCUAGAUCAGGGGUUGGCAACCUUUCAGAAGUGGUGUGCCGAGUCUUCAUUUAUCAAUCUAAUUUAAGGUUUCACGUGCCAGUAAUACAUUUUAACAUUUUUAGA